AGCGGCAGCUACACAUGCAAGUCGAGCGGAAACGAUGGAGCUUGCUCCAGGCGUCGAGCGGCGGACGGGUGAGUAAUGCAUAGGAAUCUGCCCGGUAGUGGGGGAUAACCUGGGGAAACCCAGGCUAAUACCGCAUACGUCCUACGGGAGAAAGCAGGGGAUCUUCGGACCUUGCGCUAUCGGAUGAGCCUAUGUCGGAUUAGCUUGUUGGUGAGGUAAUGGCUCACCAAGGCGACGAUCCGUAGCUGGUCUGAGAGGAUGAUCAGCCACAUCGGGACUGAGACACGGCCCGAACUCCUACGGGAGGCAGCAGUGGGGAAUAUUGGACAAUGGGCGAAAGCCUGAUCCAGCCAUGCCGCGUGUGUGAAGAAGGCUUUCGGGUUGUAAAGCACUUUCAGUGAGGAAGAAGGCCUUGGGGCUAAUACCCCCGAGGAAGGACAUCACUCACAGAAGAAGCACCGGCUAACUCCGUGCCAGCAGCCGCGGUAAUACGGAGGGUGCGAGCGUUAAUCGGAAUUACUGGGCGUAAAGCGCGCGUAGGCGGCGUGAUAAGCCGGUUGUGAAAGCCCCGGGCUCAACCUGGGAACGGCAUCCGGAACU
rnacentral:rRNA from 1 species